UACUACCUUAGAGUCUGGAAUAACCGGCCGAAAGGCUGGCUAAUACUGGAUAGAGCGAAGGGGCCGUAAAGGUCUUUUCGGGAAAGGGAGCUCGCAAGAGCCCUUGCUCUAGGAUGAGCCUGCGUCUGAUUAGUUAGUUGGUGGGGUAAAAGCUUACCAAGACGAUGAUCAGUAGCUGGUCUGAGAGGAUGAUCAGCCACACUGGAACUGAAACACGGUCCAG
rnacentral:rRNA from 1 species